AGGCUUUCUUCUUCAGUUAGAAAUUUUUUUUCUCUCUGUUUACAACACACCCAACAGGAAUCUAGCUUCAUUGUGACAAGGCACAAAAUUUAGGGCCUUCCUAUGAACAUACACCCUACACGU
ensembl:snoRNA